GUAGGGAAUCUUCCACAAUGGACGCAAGUCUGAUGGAGCAACGCCGCGUGAGUGAAGAAGGGUUUCGGCUCGUAAAGCUCUGUUGUUGGUGAAGAAGGACAGGGGUAGUAACUGACCUUUGUUUGACGGUAAUCAAUUAGAAAGUCACGGCUAACUACGUGCCAGCAGCCGCGGUAAUACGUAGGUGGCAAGCGUUGUCCGGAUUUAUUGGGCGUAAAGCGAGUGCAGGCGGCUCGAUAAGUCUGAUGUGAAAGCCUUCGGCUCAACCGGAGAAUUGCAUCAGAAACUGUCGAGCUUGAGUACAGAAGAGGAGAGUGGAACUCCAUGUGUAGCGGUGAAAUGCGUAGAUAUAUGGAAGAACACCGGUGGCGAAGGCGGCUCUCUGGUCUGUUACUGACGCUGAGGCUCGAAAGCAUGGGUAGCGA
rnacentral:rRNA from 1 species